rnacentral:rRNA from 1 species
GACGAACGCUGGCGGCGUGCUUAACACAUGCAAGUCGAACGGAAAGGCCCUGCUUGCAGGGUACUCGAGUGGCGAACGGGUGAGUAACACGUGGGUGAUCUGCCCUGCACUUCGGGAUAAGCCUGGGAAACUGGGUCUAAUACCGGAUAGGAGCCAUUUUUAGUGUGAUGGUUGGAAAGUUUUUUCGGUGUAGGAUGAGCUCGCGGCCUAUCAGCUUGUUGGUGGGGUAAUGGCCUACCAAGGCGGCGACGGGUAGCCGGCCUGAGAGGGUGGACGGCCACAUCGGGACUGAGAUACGGCCCAGACUCCUACGGGAGGCAGCGGUGGGGAAUAUUGCACAAUGGGCGCAAGCCUGAUGCAGCGACGCCGCGUGGGGGAUGACGGCCUUCGGGUUGUAAACUCCUUUCGCUAGGGACGAAGCUUUUUGUGACGGUACCUAGAUAAGAAGCACCGGCUAACUACGUG